rnacentral:miRNA from 1 species
AAAUUAGCAAGUGAGGCUCCAAC